rnacentral:tRNA from 1 species
GGUGGCUUAGUGGUAGAGUGCUUGCCUUGUAUGCAUGAGCCCUGGGUUCGAUUCCUCAGCACCA